GGAUGAGAGACCGCCUGGGAAUACCGGGUGCUGUAGG
rnacentral:piRNA from 1 species